rnacentral:rRNA from 1 species
UGUGCCCAGAUGGGAUUAGCUUGUUGGUGAGGUAACGGCUCACCAAGGCGACGAUCCCUAGCUGGUCUGAGAGGAUGACCAGCCACACUGGAACUGAGACACGGUCCAGACUCCUACGGGAGGCAGCAGUGGGGAAUAUUGCACAAUGGGCGCAAGCCUGAUGCAGCCAUGCCGCGUGUAUGAAGAAGGCCUUCGGGUUGUAAAGUACUUUCAGCGGGGAGGAAGGUGUUGUGGUUAAUAACCGCAGCAAUUGACGUUACCCGCAGAAGAAGCACCGGCUAACUCCGUGCCAGCAGCCGCGGUAAUACGGAGGGUGCAAGCGUUAAUCGGAAUUACUGGGCGUAAAGCGCACGCAGGCGGUCUGUCAAGUCGGAUGUGAAAUCCCCGGGCUCAACCUGGGAACUGCAUUCGAAACUGGCAGGCUUGAGUCUUGUAGAGGGGGGUAGAAUUCCAGGUGUAGCGGUGAAAUGCGUAGAGAUCUGGAGGAAUACCGGUGGCGAAGGCGGCCCCCUGGACAAAGACUGA